GUAUAUCCAAAUUACAUUCAUAACAAACUGUCGUAUCCAAAAAAAUAAAAUAACUACUAUACGAAAAUAUUUUAAUUCUGAUAUUGCUAAUUAUUAAACGAAUAUUAUAUUGUAAAUGAAUAAAAAUAUUUUUUCAUCAUGAAUAACACAACAUUCUUGGAUAUAGAUGAUACAAUAUUAACAAAAAACCUAAUAUUACCUGAUAAUGAUACACUGAUAAAGCAAUCUGAUUCUAAACCUUUCUUUAUUAUCCAACCUACACCAGGUAUAUGUAUAAAAACAAGAACUGAUGGUGGAGAAAAAGUAUUCUUAAACAUAUGUACAUCUGAUAAAAUACCACCACCUGAUGAUAUAUCGGACGCAAAACUUUUUGAAAUAUUGUCACAAGAAAGUCCAGAAUUUGUAGUACUUAUGAGUAUUGGAUGUGAAAGAUUUGAAACUGAUAAAGGUGGAUCUCCUUGUUUGACGUAUGAUAUUGUUAUUAAUACAACAUAUUUUGAAAAAUGUCAAAAAAACAAAAACUUUUUACUAUUCACAAUAUCAGUUAUAAUAGAUGGUGUAUCGAACAAAUUUAACAGAACAUUAAAUACAGAAGAUUAUGUGAUUCUUAAAAAUAGAAAAGUAAUGGGAAAAUUGCAGCAGCACAGGAUUGAAGAUCGUAAGCCACGAACUCACACACAAAUCCAGAAACAAUUAAUUGAGGAAAUUAAAAUUCCUACUAAAGACAUUCAUGAAAAAGAAAAUAAAAGUAAAUUAGAAAAUAUUUCUUCAGAUACUGUAGUUGGUUUAAAUCAAAAUUAUGUAUUACUGAAACAUUUAAAAGGAACAUCUAUACAUUUGAUUGGGGUAUUCCAAAUACCUAAAGGGUACAGAUUACUAGAAAAGAGGUAGAUGUACUUCUUGACCAAGAUCGUAUUGUAAUUACUAUUGAUAAAACUGGUCUCGUAUAUGAUUUAUCAGUUCCAUACAUCAUAAAUAUACCAUAUGUGAAAUGUAUUUUAGAUAAUAAUCUCAGGGUAUUAAGGUUAGAUAUGCCCGUGGAAAGAGUUUUAGAAAAUAUUCAAACAAGUUAAUUUUUAAUCAAUUAGUUUAUUGUAACGAAAAACAUUGUAACAUUUAUUUAUACCUUAGAAAGGUAAAAUAUAAACUUUCUUAUUAAC